ensembl:lncRNA
GAAGAAUCUUUAUCUGGUGCUCAUCCCUCUUGGAAUCUUUCUGUGAGCCCAGAACAUGGGACUAAACGUGAAAAAGAUGUUCUUCAUAGAACAUGACACAAUCCCACUCUUGGACAGCCUGGAUGACGGAAUGCAAAAGAGUGUACGGUGCCUCCCCCCGUUGCUCACGUGCCCUGACUCAGUGCUGCUGGCAGGGAUGAAUGGAGCACAGCGUGGGGUCAGCUCCCAGACAGCACUGUCCCAGCCCCUCCCCGGGAACGUCACAAAGGACCCACCACCCAUCUGCGUGGGCACCCAUUUCUGAAGGGCUUUGAAUAUGUCUCCUGCAAAGAUAUCUGAGGCAGUCUACCCACCUCUAGGCAAGGGCAAAGCAUCCCUUCUUGUUCUCUAACCUACAUGUGGACCGCCAACAGAGAACAUUUCACUCACUGAAGCAUUUAAGAGACCAAAAAGAGAAAGCAAGCCAAAGCUGUGAAAAAAGUCCCUGGAGCAGAAAAAGGAAAAAAAGAUCAUAAAUUAAAAACAUAAAAAAACAGUUGCAGUGGAUUAAAAGGGCACUUUCCCAGGACACUGUAGAAUGGAGCUGUUGUGGCGCUUUCUAGCUGAGGUACAUUGUAGAUAUCUCAGGCCAUGUCAUACACCACGCUCCUCCAGACCUGUUCCUGUGCUUUGCUCAGCACUCAAUGCUGUCUGUCUCGUGACUGCACCAAAAGUAGGAGCAGCCAAGAACCAGAUAUCUCAUCCUUGAGAAGCUGCACGGCUUCAAAAUUUAGUUUCAUUCUGAAUUAUGAAUAAAAGCAAUUAUGACAUAAUUUUUCAUGGAGAGAAAUACAAACAUUGAGGACAAGAUGUUUUCUUUGGACUGACUCGUUUAGGUUUCAUUCUGCUUUUACGUAAAACAGCAGUGUAACGUAAAGGCUGUAGUAAAAAGGUAAGAACAGAACAUUUCAGCAUCUUCUGCAAAUAUUUUAAUGAGAGCCAUAUGUACUAGUAGAAAACUUCAGUUUUGUCAAACAAGCAUUUUCUGAUGGAAAAAAAGAACUGCUCUAAAAAAAACCCUACUCUGCUUUCUCAGUACAUUCACCUAGUAGUUAAGAUUGGGUAUUAACCAGUCAACAAUACAUAUUUGUCUUGCUACUUCUUUGAUUUCCUUUCUGGCAGAAGGAAGGUCAUCUAGUGAUUUAUGGAGGCUUGUGGAGACCAAUAAGCUUUUUUUUCCAGUGGAGGCAAGCCUGAAGAUUUUUCAUAUCUGUCUCGUAUAAGGCUUAGGCUUGAGGAACAAAGAGGAAUGUUGGUAGGAGAGAGAACAGAGAGGAACCAUAAAACAGCCAUGAGAGUUUGUUGCAGAGGAGAAAAGGCUGAAUUCCCUGUUUAAAACCAGGAAAAGCUGAACUUCAUGUGUGUGGGAGACAUCAUCAUUUGUCAUUAUUUCCUGAUUAGUGUAUUGUGGUACAGGCCUCCAUUGCAUUCACAUCUGAAAGAAGCAAUGCCACACACAGCAGCAAGUAAAAUAAUUCAGGAAAAUGAAUAUUCAUCUGCCCCUCUAUGGAUCAGUCAUUCUCUCCUUAGUGGUCUCUUUAGCAAUAGGUUAAUAUAGUAAAAUAAUGCAUAGAGCUCAGCAAUUAUGAAACUCUAAUGACUCUUUCGGGUCAGAAAAUGAGCUUGUGUGCUCUUUGACAAUAUAGCAAUUACUAACCAUCAUGUUAGAUUCCUGUGGGAAGAAACGGUGAUUACAGGAAAGUCACACCACACAGCAUUAACAAAGCAUUCAAAACGCUUUUAAGAAGUAAAUAGUAUUGUACGUAUUGUUCUGGGAAGGAGAUUCAAAUCAAGACUUAAUUUAGGGAACACCUCUUUUGAUUAAAAAAAUGUGUUCCCAAGAACAGCUGGAGUCAUUUGCUGAGAUAAAUCAGAUGAUACUCUCAACUUUUAUGGGUUGCUAAACCCAUGAAAUAUAUGGUAUGUCUAGGAUUUGUUGGCUGCAUUCUUGUGCUAUGAACACAGAUAUUGUAGUUUGCUAACAAAGAAAAACGAUGGACCCAGCAGGCAGUGGCAAAGCCAUAUCUUCUUUUUUCAUUUUUACUGAUUUGAGCUGAGAGAAAUCUGCUCUGGCGAACCCCCUUGAGCCUUCUGAUUUUUCCCAUAUUAGGCAUAGAAUGAAAACAACAUGUAUUUCCUAUUGCCUCAUGCACCUCUCAAAAGGAAAGCAGGGGAAAUAUCACUGAGCUCUUUUAAGAUAGAACAGAAGAUUCCAUAGGUGUCAUAAUGAUUUUUAAGGAUGCUGCCUCAAGGCAUAGUCUUGGGGACCACUAAGUCCCCAUGUCUCUAGCAUCUCUGAAUUUAUUAUAAAUACUUUUUUUUUUCUGUACGCUAUAUUAUGUAAAAGGAAAAUAUAAUAACUUAUUCCAAAAAUGAUUUAAAAAAAGCUGCAAAAGCAACAAAAGAUGAACUGUAUUGCAUUUUAUCUUCUCCUUCAUCCCCCCCCCCCCAAAAAAAAAACUAAAAAAAAAACCUACCACAGACAAUUGUGUCUGAAGACUCUUGGCCAGGGAACCAUGGAGACAUGAUUUGUAUCAUGCAACAGUGAAUUUAUUUUGGGUGCUGGAGAUAGGGAUGAUCAAAGAUGAGGAUGAGGUAAGCCAUAAAUACAGGUGUAAAUGAACAAAUACAAAAGGCGGGUCUCAACAUACAAGAGGUACAACAAAAUAUGUGAUGAAGCACCACAAAAGAGUGAAAAGAUGCUUUGUUCCUUUACUCCUGCCUUUUGCAAUGUAAGUUCAGAGCUCACAGAAAGCUCUGCUUCCUAGCAUUGAUAGAAAAGGCAUGAUGUAAAUGAUCUUCCCAGUUCAGAUCGUGUUUUACUUUCCUGAACUGCUGUGAUUCUUGGGUGUGGUAGCUACAAAGGUAACCGACAGACUGUUGUACUUCUGGGGCUGAGCUGAUUGCCAGUGAGACGCACAAUGCUUUCUUAUAGAGAUUUUGCAUCUUCUCCUUC